AAGGUUUUUGGCGGAUUAGACAAGGAGAAGGCGAAAUGGUGAGACAAAGAGAGAAGCUCGCUUCGUAGACGAGAAGAAUCAUUUAUCGAACAGAUGCGUGUUGUACAAGGGGAUCGACGUUUCACACUAUAGAAUGGGUCGGUUCUUGAUUCUAUCAUUGGAGUGCACCUCACUCCAAACGUUUCUGACCACCAAUCAAGAAAUUAAUGAAAGCACAAGUUGUCUUGAUCUUCAAGAAGGCAUUGAAGACUCACCAGGACCUGACUCAAUUCAGCAUCGAGACUCAUCGUUUAGAGAACUCACCACCCCGGUGGAUGAGGAUAGUUUUAUAAUGCCAAA